rnacentral:miRNA from 1 species
ACCUGACACAUCCCGGCCAAUCUCCAGCAGACCCUCCCUCCCAGCCCCUCCUACUUCCUGGACAGCAUCCAUGUUGAAGCUGCCUUCAACAUGGAUGCUGUCCAGGAAGUAGGAGGGUCUGGGAGGGAGGGUCUGCUGGAGAUUGGCCGGGAUGUGUCAG